CGCGUAGGCGGGAGGUAAGCCGGGUGUGAAAUCCCUCGGCCCAACCGAGGAACUGCGCCCGAGACUGCUUCUCUUGAGUCCCGGAGAGGAAGGUGGAAUUCCCGGUGUAGCGGUGAAAUGUGUAGAGAUCGGGAGGAACACCGGUGGCGAAGGCGGCCUUCUGGACGGUGACUGACGCUGAGGCGCGAAAGCGUGGGGAGCAAACGGGAUUAGAUACCCCGGUAGUCCACGCUGUAAACGAUGGGUGCUAGGUGUGGGGGUAUCGACCCUCCCGUGCCGAAGCUAACGCAUUAAGCACCCCGCCUGGGGAGUACGGCCGCAAGGUUGAG
rnacentral:rRNA from 1 species